CGGGUUUUUUUUGGGCAGCCU
rnacentral:siRNA from 1 species